rnacentral:rRNA from 1 species
UACGGAGGGUGCAAGCGUUGUCCGGAUUUAUUGGGUUUAAAGGGUGCGUAGGCGGCUGAUUAAGUCCGGGGUGAAAGCCCACUGCUCAACAGCGGAACUGCCCUGGAAACUGGUUAGCUUGAGUACAGACGAGGGUGGCGGAAUGGAUACUGUAGCGGUGAAAUGCAUAGAUAGUAUCCAGAACACCGAUUGCGAAGGCAGCUGCCUAGACUGUAACUGACGCUGAGGCACGAAAGCGUGGGGAGCGGACAGG